UGGAGGAUUACCCAAGUCCGGCUGAAGGGAACGGUCUGCGGACUGUAAAUCCGCUCCUUCGGGUUCGGGGGUUCGAAUCCCUCCCCUUCCAU
rnacentral:tRNA from 1 species